CGGGAGACACACGGCGGGUGCUAACGUCCGUCGUGAAGAGGGAAACAACCCAGACCGCCAGCUAAGGUCCCAAAGUCAUGGUUAAGUGGGAAACGAUGUGGGAAGGCCCAGACAGCCAGGAUGUUGGCUUAGAAGCAGCCAUCAUUUAAAGAAAGCGUAAUAGCUCACUGGUCGAGUCGGCCUGCGCGGAAGAUGUAACGGGGCUAAACCAUGCACCGAAGCUGCGGCAGCGACGCUUAUGCGUUGUUGGGUAGGGGAGCGUUCUGUAAGCCUGUGAAGGUGUGCUGUGAGGCAUGCUGGAGGUAUCAGAAGUGCGAAUGCUGACAUAAGUAACGAUAAAGCGGGUGAAAAGCCCGCUCGCCGGAAGACCAAGGGUUCCUGUCCAACGUUAAUCGGGGCAGGGUGAGUCGACCCCUAAGGCGAGGCCGAAAGGCGUAGUCGAUGGGAAACAGGUUAAUAUUCCUGUACUUGGUGUUACUGCGAAGGGGGGACGGAGAAGGCUAUGUUGGCCGGGCGACGGUUGUCCCGGUUUAAGCGUGUAGGCUGGUUUUCCAGGCAAAUCCGGAAAAUCAAGGCUGAGGCGUGAUGACGAGGCACUACGGUGCUGAAGCAACAAAUGCCCUGCUUCCAGGAAAAGCCUCUAAGCAUCAGGUAACAUCAAAUCGUACCCCAAACCGACACAGGUGGUCAGGUAGAGAAUACCAAGGCGCUUGAGAGAACUCGGGUGAAGGAACUAGGCAAAAUGGUGCCGUAACUUCGGGAGAAGGCACGCUGAUAUGUAGGUGAAGUCCCUUGCGGAUGGAGCUGAAAUCAGUCGAAGAUACCAGCUGGCUGCAACUGUUUAUUAAAAACACAGCACUGUGCAAACACGAAAGUGGACGUAUACGGUGUGACGCCUGCCCGGUGCCGGAAGGUUAAUUGAUGGGGUUAGCGGUAACGCGAAGCUCUUGAUCGAAGCCCCGGUAAACGGCGGCCGUAACUAUAACGGUCCUAAGGUAGCGAAAUUCCUUGUCGGGUAAGUUCCGACCUGCACGAAUGGCAUAAUGAUGGCCAGGCUGUCUCCACCCGAGACUCAGUGAAAUUGAAAUCGCCGUGAAGAUGCGGUGUACCCGCGGCUAGACGGAAAGACCCCGUGAACCUUUACUAUAGCUUGACACUGAACAUUGAAUUUUGAUGUGUAGGAUAGGUGGGAGACUUAGAAGUAGUCACGCCAGUGAUUAUGGAGUCGUCCUUGAAAUACCACCCUUUAACGUUUGAUGUUCUAACGAAGAUUACGAAACGUGGUCUCGGACAGUGUCUGGUGGGUAGUUUGACUGGGGCGGUCUCCUCCCAAAGAGUAACGGAGGAGCACGAAGGUUUGCUAAUGACGGUCGGACAUCGUCAGGUUAGUGCAAUGGUAUAAGCAAGCUUAACUGCGAGACAGACAAGUCGAGCAGGUACGAAAGUAGGUCAUAGUGAUCCGGUGGUUCUGAAUGGAAGGGCCAUCGCUCAACGGAUAAAAGGUACUCCGGGGAUAACAGGCUGAUACCGCCCAAGAGUUCAUAUCGACGGCGGUGUUUGGCACCUCGAUGUCGGCUCAUCACAUCCUGGGGCUGAAGUAGGUCCCAAGGGUAUGGCUGUUCGCCAUUUAAAGUGGUACGCGAGCUGGGUUUAGAACGUCGUGAGACAGUUCGGUCCCUAUCUGCCGUGGGCGCUGGAGAACUGAGGGGGGCUGCUCCUAGUACGAGAGGACCGGAGUGGACGCAUCACUGGUGUUCGGGUUGUCAUGCCAAUGGCACUGCCCGGUAGCUAAAUGCGGAAGAGAUAAGUGCUGAAAGCAUCUAAGCACGAAACUUGCCCCGAGAUGAGUUCUCCCUGACUCCUUGAGAGUCCUGAAGGAACGUUGAAGACGACGACGUUGAUAGGCCGGGUGUGUAAGCGCAGCGAUGCGUUGAGCUAACCGGUACUAAUGAACCGUGAGGCUUAACCUU
rnacentral:rRNA from 1 species